rnacentral:rRNA from 1 species
UACGAAGGGGGCUAGCGUUGCUCGGAAUCACUGGGCGUAAAGCGCACGUAGGCGGCUUUCUAAGUCAGGGGUGAAAUCCUGGAGCUCAACUCCAGAACUGCCUUUGAUACUGGAGAGCUAGAGUCCGGAAGAGGUGAGUGGAACUGCGAGUGUAGAGGUGAAAUUCGUAGAUAUUCGCAAGAACACCAGUGGCGAAGGCGGCUCACUGGUCCGGUACUGACGCUGAGGUGCGAAAAGCGUGGGGAGCAA